rnacentral:lncRNA from 1 species
AAAUCUGAAGCAACAAGUCAAGGGAAGGCCAUUGAGAAGGAAAGACAAUGUAAUAUAUGGGAGUGAGUCUGGAUUUUAGCGUUGCUCUUAAAUUGUAGCUUUGCUGUUUAGCAGCUGGGUGGGUAUGGACGCAUUGCUUAACCUAACAGAGCUUCGGUUUUCCUGUUAGAAAAAUGCGGCUAGUGAAACUUAACUCCCAAGGUAGUAAGAAGUAAAGAAGUUAACAAUGGUACUAAGCCUAACAAGUAGGAGGCACUGCAACUAAGGUCUAUUCCAUUUUCCCUUCUUGUUAAUUCUCUUUCUUUCAUAAAUGCAGCAUAAAGCGGAGGCAUCAUGGUGGGAAGAUACUUCUCCUGGAUGCUAUGGAAAAUUAAUGAGGCGAAAUGGUAAACUCAUUAAGUCAGAACUAUCCCCAGGGAAAUGGUGGCCCUUGAGAAAUCACAUGGUGUGCACUUUUUCCUCUACUCCGGCAUCUUCGUGCAACUGAAAGGAUGUUCAGCUGAACAGUGAUGACUCUGGAAAAGGAAGAGAAAUCACAGAUGGGCCAAAUGAAGCUGAGGAGGUCUGGAAGGGAGGAAAAGGCAAUACAGACAGAGGCUACUGCCUGAGGGAAGAGCACCGUGUGAAAGGCUUGUUUGGGGAAUGCUGCCCAAUGAGGGCUCUGCUGGUUGUGAAGCAGAUGGCAGGGGUGGCUGGAGUUCCUGUCAACCCAACUCCAGAAACAGACAGCGGUCUAUGGGCUGCCAGUUGAAGGUUAUGAGGACACAAUCCAUGCGUGCUGUUUUUAACUUCAUUUUUAGUGAAUACAAAAUUAAUUCAGGCCAUGAUUUAAAUGUACUCUUGCAAAUCCUGAAAGAGUUGUGCCAUAACCCUGCAGGUUUUGCAAGCACCAGGAAGCAAACAGAAAAUAAGCAAGAGCUCUUCUUUUCCUGGUGGGGCACCAGCAUAAAACAUCGAGUUUUGAGAGUGAUGAUAAGUGGGCACGCACAAAUGUGGCGAAUGCAGCAGAGCCUGCCUUGUAGGGAGGCAAUGCCCUGCAGAAAGGCUGCUCUUCCCACCUGGCAAGAAGAACUCUGCUGA